UACGAAGGGGGCUAGCGUUGCUCGGAAUCAUUGGGCGUAAAGCGCGUGUAGGCGGCUCGGUAAGUCUGCUGUGAAAGUCCAGGGCUCAACCCUGGGAUGCCGGUGGAUACUGUCGAGCUCGAGUCCGGAAGAGGCGAGUGGAAUUCCUGGUGUAGCGGUGAAAUGCGCAGAUAUCAGGAGGAACACCAAUGGCGAAGGCGGCUCUCUGGGACGGUACUGACGCUGAGACGCGAAAGCGUGGGGAGCGAACAGG
rnacentral:rRNA from 1 species